UGGGGGAUAUUGCACAAUGGAGGAAACUCUGAUGCAGCAACGCCGCGUGAAGGAUGAAGGUCUUCGGAUUGUAAACUUUUGUACUUGGGGACGAUAAUGACGGUACCCAAGCAGCGAGCUCCGGCUAACUACGUGCCAGCAGCCGCGGUAAUACGUAGGGAGCAAGCGUUGUCCGGAUUUACUGGGUGUAAAGGGUGCGUAGGCGGCUAUGCAAGUCAGUUGUGAAAACUAUGGGCUCAACCCAUAGCCUGCAAUUGAAACUGCGUGGCUUGAGUGAAGUAGAGGUAGGUGGAAUUCCCGGUGUAGCGGUGAAAUGCGUAGAGAUCGGGAGGAACACCAGUGGCGAAGGCGACCUACUGGGCUUUAACUGACGCUGAGGCACGAAAGCAUGGGUAGCAAACAGGA
rnacentral:rRNA from 1 species